GUAGAGAAACCGCAGGUGUAAGGGAGGAACCCAGGGCCGGCACCGCAGACUCCCAGAGAGCGCCGCGCUAAGGUUCUGUGACCUUGAACGAGAGUAAGAAAAAGCAUGCAAACACAUAUGAGAGGGACCUAGGUAGAAAUAACACACAAUGCGCAGAAGAGGAAAAAUUUAAUCCUAUCCUGUGAGGAAGCUCAAAUGGCUUGCUAAAUCUUAGUCUGUAGCGGAGACUGGACUUCAUCUAGAUCUGUGAAAUCAAGAUGAGGAAACCGAGGCUCAGAGAUGCAAAACAACGUGCCUAAAAUCAAACAACUGAAGAGCACACCAGAGAACUGCAGUGAUGGACUGUACCAGCUACAGCCAUAGUUCAUCGAAUCUGACAGAGAAGUAACACUGAGGCCCAGAUGGGAGGAUUCAGGCGGGUCGUCGGGGCUGCUGAGGAAAUUUUGGAAAUGUCUCCGGUGGGACGAGGAGUUCCAAAAGGCAAGGUCAUUUUUUCCAGCCCAAUAUGCCACUGUGGUUAGGGACGUACUCUGCCUUCAGGCUCAAGUGUGUUCCAGAGAAAUGCACCUUCCAUUUUCAGAUGGCAAGUCAGUGUUCCCAGGGGGCUGUUAUGCUCCACAGACAACUGCUCAAGACCCUGUGUAGCUGGUCCCUGUGUGGGCUUGGCAGCUCAGCCCUGGGCUCCACGAGGCAAGGUCAGGGCUUUUGGGUUCACACCUGUCUCCCCAGCAUCCAGUACGGUGCCUCACUCAUGGCAGCUAUUUAAUGAACAAGUGUCGACUCAUGGAAUGGACUAGAUGUUAUGUUUGUUAAUUGCAGAGGUGCCUGAUGCACCUUCUAGUUUCCACAUUCUUCAGGAGUUAGGACUUCACAGGGAGGUAUUAUUUUUAUUUGACUUUGCAUUAAGCAAGUCUUUUUAUUCUGAUGCCUUGACAUCUGGGCCUUGCUGACCCUGAAGCAAUGGCGCCUCCCAUGGCUACCAGUUCUUAGAGUGAGGGAGUCAGCAACAAUCAUGACUUUCUUAUGCAAACCAGCCAAUCUGGAGCCCACAUCUCCAACCACCUCCUCUAUUAGGCUAUCUAUCACUCUCUAGGCCUUUAUCCACCUGCCCUACUCACCCCAGGGCCAGUACCAGACAACUAAGGAAGCGUCUAUGACCCCAGAGCCCACUGAAAUUAUUCAGAAUAGCCAAUCCUAUGUCCUGCUUCCCCUGUCUUACCUACUUCUUCCCACGGAAACCACAAUAAAGACUUUUGACCAUACUUCCCUCCACUG